GAGAGAUUCAGGGAGGAGCUGAGCUGUUACUGAACUAUAGAACAGACACAAACUUCCACAUUCAACACAGUUCAACAUACAAACCACAAACAUUCACUCUGUUCAGCAUGGACUGUUGUGGGCUUUCUCUGCUGGUUGUCACAAUUCUAACAGGAGUCAGCUGUGAACAGCUGACUGCAGUGAAGAAUGAAGAGUCCAGUUUAGAAGGAGCCCCUGUUACUCUGUCCUACAAUUACUCUAGAGAUGCUGCUAUUGGUGAUUAUUUCUUCUGGUACCGGCAAGAUCCAGGAGAACCUCCAGAGUUCCUGAUCUCUCACACAGGAACAGAAACACUUAUAUUACAGAAAGUGUCUGGACUGAGUUUUACUGUGAGUGAUGAUAAAAGACGCGUGGACCUGCUGAUCUCCUCUGCUGCAGCGACAGACUCUGCUGUGUACUACUGUGCUGUGAGGCCCACAGUGACAGGAAACUGUAAAAGUGUGUAGAAAACCUGCAGAGCAAAGACAACACAAUACUCCACAACAUCCACUAGAGGGACUCACACAGUGGGAACCCACUGGUUGUUGGACUGAUGACAAAGACAACAGACACAUGAAGCAGCAGAAACAAGGUGAAGUUGCAGUAAAGCUGGUGGAGUUCAAGUGGUUCAACAUAUAUAAAUUCUGUUUUAUCCAAAUUCAGAAGCAGGAAAUGAUUUUAUAACCAGCCUCUAACAGUGGAUAGGCAUUUUUCUAGUUGAAUCAAGUUGUAAGAGCUACCCAGAGAGAGAGGGACAGGCAGCGGAAUAACAAUAAAAGUUACAUCAAAUGGACAUAGGAGGCCACCCAGAGGCAGCAGAUAGAUUGAGAACAGCAGUGGGCCCAGUACAGACCCUUGAGGGACUCCAUGCUUCAGCACAAAGGUCUCAGACAUGUCCUUCUGAAUCUGACAUCAUGUGAUCACUCAGACAGGUCUGAUUUCAGCCAUGAGUGUGUUUCCCAUUACUCCCAUAUAGCUUUCAGUAUAGCUUCAACUACACUCCACUGCAUCCCCCGG